GGCUUCUUUUUCGUUUGAAAGGUGGUAUUUUGUGGGAGAUGAUGCUUAACUGUGGGGCGAAAAGUAGGAUCUGGGGGAGAAAAUCCACUUCUGGGUCGGAAAGAAUAGGACAUUUUCUCCCCCAAGUACCCCUUGUCUCACCGAAACAAGACUCUUUCUCCACUAAAUACCACUGCUCUCCACAAAACAUGACUUCUCGCCUGCCAAAUACAAAGCUGUUUGCUUUCCAAAAAGACGACGUUUCCUUCGCGCGCUCCCUUUUUUCUCCACAACAUGCAAAUCUCUCUCCAAAACAGGACAGUUUCUCCCCUAAGCUACUUUUCUCCAGAACAUAGGGCCCUUCCUUCGCGCAUCAUGCCACAUUUCUCCUGAAAAUAUACAGCUCUUCCUUGCAAAAUACCACUUUUCUCCCAAAGACAUGACCAUUUUUCUUCCCACACCAUACCACUCUUCUCCAAAACUACGAUCUCUCCUCUCAAAAACGCCACUUUUCUCCCAAAAAUACGACCGUUUCUUCCCCUCAGGACCUCUUUUCUCCUCCAUAGAUGAGACUUUCUCGACCCAAAUCUCACUUUCGUCAAGAAAAGAAGGCAUUUUCCCGACCACAAAACCACUCUUCACCCCCAAAUCAGACUUUUCUCCCCAAAACACCACUGUGCUCCCUAAAAGAAGACACUCUCUCCCCCCACAUACCACUGCCACCUUUCAAACGAAAACAAAACGUUUUCUCUCCAAAAUACUACACUUCUUUCGGAAACACGACAUUUUCUCCCCCCCCUCCCAGAAAAAAAAAAACAAAAACCAAAAAACGGCAACCAAAACAACAAACCAAACACUUCUACCCACCAUUGGACUGGCAGGCAUGUGUUGGGCUUGUCUGCUGGUAGAAGGAACAAGGUUAGGCAUAGUUUCUACAGAGAACAACUGCUUCGAUUUCUUUCUAGAUUUGGUCGUAAGUAUCAGAGGAGCGGCAAGAAAGGGCCCUGCCACUGCCCGUCGGUUACUACGCAGCUGUACGUGACAGAGCCCGCUGUGGCUGGAAGUGUAAAGGAUGGCAGUUCAGAAUCCUCUCUUGCCAGCUUGCCGUGCUGCAGUCUUGAGCUUGUGAAGCGUGCUCCUGAGGUCUUCUUUUCGUUUGAAAGGUGGUAUUUUGUGGGAGAUGAUGCUUAACUGCGGGGCGAAAAGUAGGAUCUGGGGGAGAAAAUCCACUUCUGGGUCGGAAAGAAUAGGACAUUUUCUCCCCCAAGUACCCCUUGUCUCACCGAAACAAGACUCUUUCUCCACUAAAUACCACUGCUCUCCACAAAACAUGACUUCUCGCCUGCCAAAUACAAAGCUGUUUGCUUUCCAAAAAGACGACGUUUCCUUCGCGCGCUCCCUUUUUCUCCACAACAUGCAAAUCUC
rnacentral:lncRNA from 7 species